UAUGAGGAUCGGCUGGUGAAUUAUAGCUGAAUUUGUGAUAAAGUUACGCAUCUCUUUUGUAUUAAAAAUAGCCAAUAAUUGUUAGUGAAAAUUUUCAGAUGUCGUCAAAUAUUUUUCCUGAGGUUCUAUGGAAUGGAAUUUUAGGCGAUGAAGACGAGAGGGGACCAGAAAUUUCAAAUAUUAUAAACGGUUUGUCGGUGCCACUGCCUAGCUAAGUAUAACAUGUAUGAUACCCAACUGCCAAGCCAACAAAGAAUAGGAGAGUCUGCGUUUGCAAUACCAAAAAAAAGUUUGGAUGAAGGCUCUUUAAGUGGACCAUAUGAAUUCCUCACGCUGAAAGAUCUUAGAGUGUGAAAAAAACUAUUACACUGUUAAAUAAAUAUUAUGACGUUA
rnacentral:lncRNA from 1 species